UCUUGUACAGAACUUCUCGCGUUAUAUGUUUGGCUCCACCUACGGCGGCGUCCCACUACUGUCGCGCGUACGACACGCCGAAACAAAAAACAAUUCGUACGCGCGCGGUUACAAAUCGUAACUAGGUUCAGUAAAACCUGCCGAUCGUCGUUAAAGAAAUUUAUGAUUAUAUACAUUAAAAAUAUAUUACAACACAAUAUCUAUCAGAAAAAUGAAUAGAAAAUUGGGAGUUAUAACACUUAUAACUCAAAUGAGUACCUAUAGGUAGUAGGUACCUAUUCUUAGAUAUGAUACAUUAAUGCAAUUAUGAAUUAGCGUUGUUAUGUAUACCGCACGAGUCUGAAGAAAAUUAAAAAUAAUCGUCAAAAACUUGAAAAUUUACCUGCGAAAAACGAAUUUUGAUAAGCACAGGAUUCACUUACUAUUGUCUACUCUACUCCUAACUAAUCAUACAAGCACACAACGUAUUACUGGGAUCUGCAGACGUGAUGAUGCCAACGGAAGGACGUCUGUCGAAAUUAAAAUUCACUGCCUACACAUCGGCCGUAUCGCAAGUGAAAACGACUUUUCCAUUUCGAUCGCGACGUUUAUCGCAUCUGUUUAAUCAAUAUAUUGAUUGCAACGUUAUAUUAUAAUUUAUAAGAUUUUUAUCGACAAUAAUUACGACUUUUGCACAUAAUAAUAUUAUCGUAGUAUUCAAUUUUUAAUAUUUGAUAAACAAGUGAAAAAUUCUAUUAUCAUCCAUUCACUAAUCACCUAUCGUAUUAAGAUACUAUCUUUACACUCUUCAUUAAUUGAACUUUUAAUUUGUUUGCCGAUAUAUUCUU